rnacentral:rRNA from 1 species
GACGAACGCUGGCGGCGUGCUUAACACAUGCAAGUCGAACGGUAAGGCCCUUCGGGGUACACGAGUGGCGAACGGGUGAGUAACACGUGGGUGAUCUGCCCUGCACUUCGGGAUAAGCCUGGGAAACUGGGUCUAAUACCGGAUAGGACCACUGCCUGCAUGGGUGGUGGUGGAAAGCUUUUGCGGUGUGGGAUGGGCCCGCGGCCUAUCAGCUUGUUGGUGGGGUGAUGGCCUACCAAGGCGACGACGGGUAGCCGGCCUGAGAGGGUGACCGGCCACACUGGGACUGAGAUACGGCCCAGACUCCUACGGGAGGCAGCAGUGGGGAAUAUUGCACAAUGGGCGCAAGCCUGAUGCAGCGACGCCGCGUGAGGGAUGACGGCCUUCGGGCUGUAAACCUCUUUCAGCACCGACGAAGCGCAAGUGACGGUAGGUGCAGAAGAAGGACCGGCCAACUACGUGCCAGCCGCCGCAGUAAUAC